rnacentral:rRNA from 1 species
GAUUGGCUUAGUAACGGCGAGCGAACAGCCAAGAGCUCAUAACCGAAUCCCACGGCUUUAUGCUGUCGGGAAAUGUGGUGUUUGGGUGCUUAUUUGUGAUUUAUUUCUAAUUGUAAGUCCACGUGAUUGUGGCUCAUAGCCCAUGGAGGGUGCAAGGCCCGUAACAGUUGGAAAUUUAUUGCUAUUAGGUACCCUAGAGUCGCGUUGUUUGGAAAUGCAGCGUAAAGUGGUGGUAAACUCCAUCAAAAGCUAAAUACAACACGAAUCCGAUAGCGAACAAGUACCAUGAGGUAAAGUUGAAAAGAACUUUGAAGAGAGAGUUCAAUAGUACGUGAAACCGCUUAGAGGUAAGCGGGUAGAGCUGAAAGUGGUGUGAAGAUUUAUGUUAACUGAUGUAAUUUGGUGGGCCAUUGGAUCCGUAAGGACGGUGACCUGUUUAUAUCAAAAUUGGUUGACUGUUUUCUCAUGCCUUAAUCACAAUCAGCAUUGUGUAUAUGUCUUAUUCUGAUUAGAGGUACCCGAUGUGGCCUUGUGUUACAUUGGUUUUUAUAAUUUUCAGAAAGGAGCUUAUAUUAUGCUGUGCAUGGCGGUGCAAGUUUACGCACAAGUAGUGAUAUAUUUGUAAUACACAAGUGUGACUUUUUUAAAGUUGCUCAUGUUGUAUUUUAUAUUUAUUGUCAUUGCCUCUGUGUUUUGUGCCAACAAUUGUGAUUUUUUGUAAGCUAUCUACCCGGCCCGUCUUGAAACACGGACCAAGGAGUCUAACAUGUUCGCGAGUCAUUGAGUUUUACGAAACUUAAAGGCGCAUUGAAAGAGAAGGAUUACUUUCGUAAUCUGAGGUAUGAUCCAUGCGCUUUCGAGUGUGUGGCGCAAUACCGGCUUGUCUCAUGUUUUUUAAACGAGGCAACGCAAGAGCGAAUAUGAUGGUACCCGAAAGAUGGUGAACUAUGCUUGCAUAGGUUGAAGCCAGAGGAAACUCUGGUGGAGGACCGAAGCGCUUCUGACGUGCAAAUCGAUCGUCAAAUGUGAGUAUAGGGGCGAAAGACUAAUCGAACCAUCUAGUAGCUGGUUCCCUCCGAAGUUUCCCUCAGGAUAGCUGGCACUUGCGGAUAAAACAGUUUUAUCCGGUAAAGCGAAUGAUUAGAAGUAUUGGGGACGAAAUGUCCUCAACUUAUUCUCAAACUUUAAAUGGGUAAGAUGCCAUUCUCUCUUAAUUGGAGUAUGUCAUUGAAUGUAAGUGCCUAGUGGGCCAUUUUUGGUAAGCAGAACUGGCGAUGUGGAAUGAACCAAAAGCGGUGGUUAAGGUGCCUAAAUAAGCGCUCAUGACAAACCACAAAAGGUGUUGGUUGAUAUAGACAGCAGGACGGUGGCCAUGGAAGUUGGAAUCCGCUAAGGAGUGUGUAACAACUCACCUGCCGAAUCAACCAGCCCUGAAAAUGGAUGGCGGUGGAGCGUUUUACCUAUACCGCGCCGUUACUGUAAGCCUUGUGCUUGGACAUAGUAACGUGUAGGAGGGCGACGUGGUCAGCAUUGAAGCCUAGAAUGUGAAUUCUGGUGGAGCGGCCAUGUGUGCAGAUCUUGGUGGUAGUAGCAAGUAUUCAAGUGAGAUUCUUGAAGACCGACGUGGAGAAGGGUUCCAUGUGAACAGC